rnacentral:rRNA from 1 species
UACGAAGGGGGCAAGCGUUGUUCGGAAUUAUUGGGCGUAAAGGGAGCGUAGGCGGUUCGGCAAGUCUUUAGUGAAAUCUCUGGGCUCAACUCAGAGUCUGCUGGAGAAACUGCCGGGCUGGAGUAUGGGAGAGGUGAGUGGAAUUCCCGGUGUAGCGGUGAAAUGCGUAGAUAUCGGGGAGGAACACCUGUGGCGAAAGCGGCUCACUGGACCAUUCUGACGCUGAUGCUCGAAAGCUAGGGGAGCAAACAGG